UCUACAACUCGAGAUAUAGGCUGAACACUGAACAAUGUCUGGGCUGCAGAACAGAUUCCGACUUCUCUACCAUUUGAACUCAAAAAUGGCCCUUUUAUAUCUUGGACUCCGGAUGAAAGUUUUAGGCCUAUGUCUUAGCUUUCCAUA
rnacentral:pre_miRNA from 1 species